GGGCUCUAGCUCAGUGGUAGAACAUAGGCUUUGCAUACAAAAGGUCCCAGGUUCAGUUCCUGGCAUCUCCU